UCCUACGGGAGGCAGCAGUGGGGAAUAUUGGACAAUGGGCGAAAGCCUGAUCCAGCAAUGCCGCGUGAGUGAUGAAGGCCCUAGGGUUGUAAAGCUCUUUUACCCGGGAAGAUAAUGACUGUACCGGGAGAAUAAGCCCCGGCUAACUCCGUGCCAGCACCCGCGGUAAUA
rnacentral:rRNA from 1 species